UAGGGAAUAUUGGACAAUGGGCGAAAGCCUGAUCCAGCAACGCCGCGUGCGCGAUGACGGCCUUCGGGUUGUAAAGCGCUUUUAGAGGAGAUGAGAAAGGACAGUAUCCUCAGAAUAAGCCUCGGCGAACUACGUGCCAGCAGCCGCGGUAAAACGUAGGAGGCUAGCGUUAUCCGGAUUUAUUGGGCGUAAAGCGCGUGCAGGCGGUUUGAUAAGUUGGAUGUGAAAUCUCCCGGCUUAACUGGGAGCGGUCGUUCAAAACUAUCAGACUAGAGAAUGGGAGAGGAAGGUGGAAUUCCGGGUGUAGUGGUGAAAUGCGUAGAUAUCCGGAGGAACACCAGUGGCGAAAGCGGCCUUCUAGACCAUUUCUGACGCUAAGACGCGAAAGCUAGGGUAGCAAACGGG
rnacentral:rRNA from 1 species